GUGGGGAAUAUUGGGCAAUGGGCGAAAGCCUGACCCAGCAACGCCGCGUGAAGGAAGAAGGCCCUCGGGUUGUAAACUUCUUUUAAGAGGGACGAAAGAAAUGACGGUACCUCUUGAAUAAGCCACGGCUAACUACGUGCCAGCAGCCGCGGUAAUACGUAGGUGGCGAGCGUUAUCCGGAUUUACUGGGUGUAAAGGGCGUGUAGGCGGGAGUGCAAGUCAGAUGUGAAAAUUAUGGGCUCAACCCAUAACCUGCAUUUGAAACUGUUCUUCUUGAGUGAUGGAGAGGCAGGCGGAAUUCCGUGUGUAGCGGUGAAAUGCGUAGAUAUACGGAGGAACACCAGUGGCGAAGGCGGCCUGCUGGACAUUAACUGACGCUGAGGCUCGAAAGCGUGGGUAGCAAACAGGAUUAGAAACCCCGGUAGUCC
rnacentral:rRNA from 1 species